rnacentral:rRNA from 1 species
UGGGGAAUAUUGCACAAUGGGCGCAAGCCUGAUGCAGCCAUGCCGCGUGUAUGAAGAAGGCCUUCGGGUUGUAAAGUACUUUCAGCGAGGAGGAAGGCGUUGUGGUUAAUAACCGCAGCGAUUGACGUUACUCGCAGAAGAAGCACCGGCUAACUCCGUGCCAGCAGCCGCGGUAAUACGGAGGGUGCAAGCGUUAAUCGGAAUUACUGGGCGUAAAGCGCACGCAGGCGGUCUGGCAAGUCGGAUGUGAAAGCCCCGGGCUUAACCUGGGAACUGCAUCCGAAACUGGCAGGCUAGAGUCUUGUAGAGGGGGGUAGAAUUCCAGGUGUAGCGGUGAAAUGCGUAGAGAUCUGGAGGAAUACCGGUGGCGAAGGCGGCCCCCUGGACAAAGACUGACGCUCAGGUGCGAAAGCGUGGGGAGCAAACA